AGUUUUAUAGUCAAGCAUGACACUAAAUUGCAAGUUUAGAGGAGAAUAUAAAUUCUAAGGCUU
rnacentral:tRNA from 1 species